rnacentral:rRNA from 1 species
CCCUUAGAUGUCCUGGGCCGCACGCGCGCUACACUGAUGCAUUCAACGAGGUCUACCUUGGCCGAGAGGCCUGGGCAAUCUUUUGAACCUGCAUCGUGAUAGGGAUAGAUUAUUGCAAUUAUUAAUCUUGAACGAGGAAUUCCUAGUAAACGCAGAUCAUCAAUCUGCAUUGAUUACGUCCCUGCCCUUUGUACACACCGCCCGUCGCACCUACCGAUUGAAUGGUCCGGUGAAGCCUCGGGAUUGUGGCGAGUUCCCUUUAUUGGGAGUUUGUCGCGAGAACUUGUCUAAACCUUAUCAUUUAGAGGAAGGUGAAGUCGUAACA